ACGAACGCUGGCGGCGUGCUUAACCCCUGCAAGUCGCACGGAAAGGCCCUGCUUUUGUGGGGUGCUCGAGUGGCGAACGGGUGAGUAACACGUGAGUAACCUGCCCUUGACUUUGGGAUAACUUCAGGAAACUGGGGCUAAUACCGGAUAGGAGCUCCUGCUGCAUGGUGGGGGUUGGAAAGUUUCGGCGGUUGGGGAUGGACUCGCGGCUUAUCAGCUUGUUGGUGGGGUAGUGGCUUACCAAGGCUUUGACGGGUAGCCGGCCUGAGAGGGUGACCGGCCACAUUGGGACUGAGAUACGGCCCAGACUCCUACGGGAGGAAGCAGUGGGGAAUAUUGCACAAUGGGCGGAAGCCUGAUGCAGCAACGCCGCGUGCGGGAUGACGGCCUUCGGGUUGUAAACCGCUUUCGCCUGUGACGAAGCGUGAGUGACGGUAAUGGGUAAAGAAGCACCGGCUAACUACGUG
rnacentral:rRNA from 1 species